rnacentral:rRNA from 1 species
AACGAACGCUGGCGGCGUGCCUAACACAUGCAAGUCGUGCGAGAAAGUUCCUUCGGGAGCGAGUAAAGCGGCGCACGGGUGAGUAACACGUAGGUAACCUGCCCCCCAGUCUGGAACAACUAGAGGAACUCUAGCUAAUGCCGGAUGAGACCACGAUCCCUUCGGGGGUUGCGGCCAAAGAUGGCCUCUACUUGUAAGCUAUCGCUGAGGGAUGGGCCUGCGGGCCAUUAGCUUGUUGGUGAGGUAACGGCUCACCAAGGCUGUGAUGGCUAGCUGGUCUGAGAGGAUGACCAGCCACACUGGGACUGAGACACGGCCCAGACUCCUACGGGAGGCAGCAGUGGGAAUAUUGCGCAAUGGGCGAAAGCCUGACGCAGCGACGCCGCGUGGGUGAGUGAAGGCCUU